rnacentral:rRNA from 1 species
GAUGAACGCUGGCGGCGUGCCUAAUACAUGCAAGUCGAGCGAACGGACUAGAAGCUUGCUUCUCUGAUGUUAGCGGCGGACGGGUGAGUAACACGUGGAUAACCUACCUAUAAGACUGGGAUAACUUCGGGAAACCGUAGCUAAUACCGGAUAAUAUUUUGAACCGCAUGGUUCAAAGGUGAAAGACGGUCUUGCUGUCACUUAUAGAUGGAUCCGCGCUGCAUUAGCUAGUUGGUAAGGUAACGGCUUACCAAGGCAACGAUGCAUAGCCGACCUGAGAGGGUGAUCGGCCACACUGGAACUGAGACACGGUCCAGACUCCUACGGGAGGCAGCAGUAGGGAAUCUUCCGCAAUGGGCGAAAGCCUGACGGAGCAACGCCGCGUGAGUGAUGAAGGUCUUCGGAUCGUAAAACUCUGUUAUUAGGGAAGAACAUAUGUGUAAGUAACUGUGCACAUCUUGACGGUACCUAAUCAGAAAGCCACGGCUAACUACGUG